CAUGCUGGCCACAUGACCCAGAAGCUGUACGCCAGCUCCCUCGACCAAUAAAGCGAGAUGAGCGCCGCAACCCCAGAGUCGGCCACAACUGGACCUAAUGGUCAAGGGUCCCUUUACCCUUUAAGGUUAAAAUGAUAAAGGACCCCCAACCCCUGGACGGUUAAGUCCAGUCAAAGGGGACUAUGGGGUUCCGGCACUCAUCUCAUUUUCAGGCCGAGGGAGCUGACGUUUGUCCACAGACAGCAUGACUAAACUGCUACUGUCGCACGGAGGGCAGUGACGAGUGCCAGAGCGCAUGGAAACGCCGUUUACUUUCCCGCCGCAGCAGUAUCUAUUUAUCUACUUGCACUGGUAUGCUUUCAAACUGCUAGGUUGGCAGAAGCAGGGACCGAGCAACGGGAGCCAGGUCAAAAUUCCAGCCUUAGCUAUACUAAGUAAAAGCCCAUUGAUUUUACUGGGCUUACUCCAAGUUUGAAUCCAGCGCCAGGUUUCUCUAGCUCUAAGUCCAAUGUACCCACAGUAAUUUUUUAAAAAAAUUACUAGAAAUUUCAUCACAAUAAUUUUAACAAAAAUACAUCAUCCACAUUAUUUUCCCCCCUCCAUUUUUUUUCACUCCCCCCCUAAACAAAAAAACCCCAACCUCCCACCACUACCACCCCGGACUUUCCUCAGCUCCUUCCUCUGGUUUCUCAACACAUCUUUCUGUCUGCAUGUUGUAAAAUUGUAAAGAUCCUCAAAUUUUCUAUCUAUAUAUUACAAUAAAGAAUUUGUGAAGCACCCACAGUAAUUUUAAUAUUCUUUUAGAGUAGGGCUGUUCCCCACCCCCACCAACCUCUUCAAAAAAAUAUUAGCUGAACUAAGUUUCAGUCAGUUUAUUAAUCAAAUAAAUCUGCUUAGAAUGAUUGUUUCGAAGGAGCAAAGAAUUGUUUACGACAAUGUACAUAGAUGUCCAUAAAAGCAUCAUACUGGAGCUCACAUUUUCUCCCGUGUGAGAUUGGAGAAGGACUUAACAAUGAUUGUUGUAGUAAUAAUACAUUUAUAUCCCACAGUUAAUAAUGACUGUAGUCAUUGUCAUUGUUGUAGUAAUACAUUUAUAUCUGCGAAGAAUGCCUUUAGUGAAAAGGUGAAAUAGACAUUUUGUUACAGUCCUAGUUUAUAUGUCUGUUUGUCUGUCUGUCUGUUUGUCUGUCUGUCUGUCUCUCCACAUGUGUGUCUAUGUACUCUCAUCACAAUAUGAGGAGCUUGGGAUUGUAUUUCAAAAAGGAAACGUCUCGAACAAAAGCAACGUGGAGCCUUGUGGAGGUUUUGAAAGAACAAGUCGCUCCUUCCAUGGAAUGUUGAAGGAGCAAAACACUUUAAUGCACAUUGAUUAAACAUUUGGAUUCAACUGUUCGAUACCUCCCAGCAUUUCAUUAUCAAAAUGUUACCAUCUGUGAAGCGGCAGACAAAAUAUAAUAGCAAAAAAUUUCUCAUCUCCCUUGAAUCUCAUUUGGUGUGCCUUUUGUUCAGCAAGUUCAUCAAUAAUCUUCUUUAAAUAGUCUUGCUUGGCUGUUUUUCAACAGGCAAAUGUUACCAGGCCCCCAAGCGCCUCUAUCUCUCAUCACAACAGCAAUCUGAGACGGCGAGUCUGUGCACAUUUACUUAGAAACAAACUCCACUGAACUCCAGAGGACUUGAUCUUCAACGGCGCCCAGUAUGUUUCCAAGUACAAUUCACAGUGUUGGUGCUGACCUUUAAAGCCCUAAAUGGCCUCGGUCCUGUAUACCUAAAGGAGCGUCUCCACCCCCAUCGUUCUGCCCGGACACUGAGGUCCAGCGCCAAGGGCCUUCUGGCGGUUCCUUCGCUGCGAGAAGAGAGGUUACAGGGAACCAGGCAGAGGGCCUUCUUGGUAGUGGCACCCGCCUUGUGGAACGCCCUCCCACCAUUAAACAAUAAACAACUACAGUGGUACCUCGGGCUACAUACGCUUCAGGUUACAUACGCUUCAGGUUACAGACUCUGCUAACCCAGAAAUAUUACCUCGGGUUAAGAACUUUGCUUCAGGAUGAGAACAGAAAUCGUAGGGGGGGCCACUAGGGGGCGCAUCGGAAGAUGGCUGACAAUAACAUCUCUCCGACCCACACGAGGUAAUUUGGAGGCUAUGAUGGGAGUAAUUAGCCUCCCUAACCCCCCCAGGACGGUGGGGGGGACUGCCCUUGCCUGCUGUGCCCUAUACCACCCCCGAAAUUGUGGGGAUGGGGGCACUAGGCACAAAGCCCUCCUGUGGGAUUCCGGCACUUCUGGACACCGUCCCUGAUUCGCGCCACUAGCUGCAAGAACUUCAAAAGAAAACAAUUUGGAUAAAGGAAUGCACAUAUUUCAAGGAAGGAGGGGAGUAAAGACUGCUAUAGAAGAGAUCUCUGAUAAAACAAGACAAGAAUAAAACAUGAGAAGAUACGCCAAGACACGGUAUGGCAAAUGACUGAUGGGGGAGGGGGGGAAACUUUCCUUUCUUUUCUUAUGUGAUUAACAAGAAUCCCCUCCCCUCACGAGUUACGAGUCAGAAAUGUCGUUUUAAGGAUUUAAGCUGUGGAUUUAAGGCUGUGUGGAGAUAAACUUUCGAACCAAAGCAUGUUUUAAGAAGAGCGAGGAAUGUAUAAGAGCUUGGGAAUGACGCAGUUAAAAAUGCCGUUGCCAUAUUGGGAAGUUCUGUCGGAGGUCUUGAGUCUGGGAGGAGAAAGAGAGAAAUAGAGCUGUUUAUAUAUUGUGGGUGAAACUCCUCAGAGGGACUCAGGAGCGACAGUUGGCGAGAUGGGAAGAGUGAUGUUAUCUAUGAAGGCGAUGAUAUAUGGAAACCAUCUCGAUUUGAGGAAUGGAAGAACGGAAAAUUCACACAAGAUUAUUAUUAUUAUUGGUGUUUAUCGGCUUAAGGAGACUAUCAGAAGAGAUCAUAAAGAAAAAAGAGAAAAUAUAUAAACAAGAUGUGAUGUGGAAACAGCAAGAUAAGACUGGAUAGAAUUAUCAACUUUGUUUGGACUGAUUUGGACAUUAACGCAGUAGCAAGAAGAUGAUCAGAAUCCCCCUUCGGAUCUUGAAAUAUGGGUCCCCCCAACAAAAUUUAAAAUUUGGCUUUGUAAUUCAGAACUUAUGUGAUGUGAUUUAAUUUGAUUUGAUUGGCCGGUUAAUAAAAAUUAUUGUUUUUUAAAAAAAGAGAACAGAAAUCGUGCUCCGGCGGCACGGCAGCAGCAGGAGGCCCCAUUAGCUAAAGUGGUGCUUCAGGUUAAGAACAGUUUCAGGUUAAGAACGGACCUCCAGAAAGAAUUAAGUACUUAACCCGAGGUACCACUGUAUUUUACUUUUAAAAGACAACUGUUUAGGGAAGUUUUUAAUGUCUGACGCUGUAUUGUUUUUAAUAUUCAGUUGGAAGCCGCCCAGAGUGGCUGGGGAAACCCAGCCAGAAGAGUGGGGUAUAAAUAAUAAAUUAUUAUUAUUGCUGUUGUUUCCAAGCACUGGCGGAGGAAGGGGUGUGUGGUGGGUGCGGCCUGCCCCGGGUGUCAUCCCUGAGGGGCGGGGUUGACAUAGCUACCCUGCCCACCUGGGAUGCUAGCCCCGCCCCCGGGUGCACAGCUAGCUCCGCCUCUGCUUCCAAAAGGGCCUGGUGAAAUCCAAGGAUUUUAUAAAACCGUCACAGUUGUGCAGCCAGCUUCCAGCAGCAGGUCAUUCCCAUUGGGUUGGACCCUGAAGGGGGAACAACAAAGGAAUUUGAACCUUUGUCAUUUUGUGUUUGGGACAAAGGCAAAGGUAUCGCCCUGUUUGAUUUUGAUUGCUUUUUGUCUGGUUUGGUUUUGUGUCUGGGAAGAUGAGUGGUAUGGCCCUAAGUUGCGGUUAUGUGUAUUGCUUUCCCCCCUUACUUGUAUGUUAGCAGUCAAAGGUCUGGUCAAGGUAUGAGAGACUCACACUCCCUGCUGAGCUUCUGGUGCAGGACUUAAGACUUUUAUCAUUCCAGCAGGCACUGUCAGGUAGCACUUGGUUUUACAAUACAGUGGUACCUCUGGUUAAGAACUUAAUUCGUUCUGGAGGUCCAUUCUUAACCAGAAAGUGUUCUUAACCUGAGGUACCACUUUAGCUAAUGGGGCCUCCCGCUGCUGCUGCUGCUGCUGCUGCUGCUGCCGCUGCCGCUGCCGCCACUGCCGCACAAUUCCUGUUCUCAUCCUGAAGCGAAGUUCUUAACCCGAGGUACUAUUUCUGGGUUAGUGGAGUCAGUAACCUGAAGCGUCUGUAACCCAAGGUACCACUGUAAUUAUUUAUUGUUCUAAACAUCAGGAACGUUUCUUUUGGGAAAUGUCAGCCAGUCAAAUAAACCACACACACACAAAAUGAACUUUCCUUGGGCAACAGUUACAUGUUUUUGAAGGUUUCCUCCAUUAAAGGUAAAGGGACCCCCAGUCGUGGCCGACUCUGGGGUUGCGGCGCUCAUCUUGCUUUAUUGACCAAGGGAGCCGGCGUACAGCUUCCGGGUCAUGUGGCCAGCAUGACUAAGCCGCUUCUGGUGAACCAGAGCAGCGCACAGAAACACCAUUUACCUUCCCACCAGAGCGGUACCUAUUUAUCUACUUGCUCUUUGACGUGCUUUCGAACUGCUAGGUUGGCAGGAGCAGGGACUGAGCAAUGGGAGCUCACCCCGUCACAGGAAUUCAAACCGCCAAGUCCUAGGCUCUGUGGUUUAACCCACAGCGCCACCCAUGUCCCUGUGUUUCCUCCAUUAGCAGGUGACAAAUUUUUAUUCAGCCGUGUGUAUAAAUAGCUCCAUGUUUUUUCAUGAUGAUUCAUUUUUUUAACCAGCAAUUGCUUUGCAUGUUUUUAUUGCAAUGAUUGGAACCCAACACUUGGUCGUUCCUUCAACUUCACAUCUAUAUUGAGAUUCGCAAAGGAAUCGGCAAUAUUCAACUCUGCCUGCUUGCCGUUCCCAAUGACGGAUAUGUAGAUAGGAUUAACAUAACAGUCUGCCUUUUCCUAGUGCAGUUUGAUCUUCCAUGCAUUUUUCAUAUUCUAUUGUAGAUAGAUCAUAUCCUUCCGUUGCGCAAACUGAUUGAUUGCUGUUUCUCUCCAAUGCACCCACACCCCCUUGGUGACUGGAGGGCGAUAAAUUAUUGAAAUAAAGACAUUUAAAGAUAGGGAAGUCCCCCUAGAUCAUCCGCACCCCUAACUGUACUCCCCUCCACCCUCCCAGCAACUCACAAUUGCAAUGAAUUAUUCUCAGCUAGUGUCUUGCUCUGCUUGCUUCCUGCAGAGUUAUCAUGCGCUGUGCAAGGUUGCUUUUCUCGUCUUUGAGAUAGGUAUGGCCCAGGGUUCCUUGUCUCUGCCUGCAGAGGCCAGCAGGAGCUGAGAAUUAUGAGAAUUCUCUCCCCUCUGCUCACGGUCUGCUUCGCUCAGCAAAGUACAGCAAGAGGCAGAAGAACGCAGGAUUUUAGUCACUGCAACUUCCUGAAGCUGUUUCCGCAGCAGAAGAAGUGGUUGCAGCUAAAAUAUGAGAUCACCCGCCCUACCCCUACUGCUGCUCGCAUCAGUAGAUCCUUUUCGUGUGAUAAAGGCUUUGAAACAAAAUAAAUUUAAAAAUUCCUUCCAGUAGCACCUUAGAGACCAACUAAGUUUGUUACUGGUAUGAGUUUUCAUGUGCAUGCACCAAAUAACAAACUUAGUCGAUCUCUAAGGUGCUACUGGAAGGAAUUUUUUUAUUUUGUUUCGACUACGGCAGACCAACACGGCUAGGUACCUGUAACUAAAGCCUUUGAAAAAUUCCAAAAUCCACAUUAGGGCAAUGCCUUUCUUGGGCCGGCCAAAAUAUCACAAAUGGGUGUGCCAGCUUUUACCUUCCUCAAAAUUCUUCUUCAAACCACUGGCUGAAGGUCACCUGAGCACUUGAUGAAGAGUACUGGAGAAUUCAAAAGCUUUCUCAUUAUUUUGGGAUAUACUUUAUAAAUUGGGUAUUUUGCUAUGGUGUGUGUGUAUGUGCAUGCGUGUGUGCGCGCGCGCAUAGAUAGAUAGGUAUGCACACAUGUUAUGCUUUUUGGACACUCCUUGACAGCAUGGCUAUGGGGGCUGUCACUAACAAAUCCUGCAUUUCAGGAGUGACCCUCAUACUGCUGCUUUUCAAGACCCAACUUGGCCCUCUCCAAAGACUUUCUCCAGCAUGUCAGAGCCUGAGACGCUUGGGAAGGAGCAUUGUGAUGUCAUUGAGUGGGGCGUUGUGAUGUCAUGGGGCUGCCAACUCCUGAACAUCUGGAAAAUAAUCCAAAUCCAAACUCUGCAGAAUAAAUCAUGCGAAACAGGAAAAUCACACAGUUGUGCUUAUUCAGGAUGCAGAAUCCAACUUCUCUUAAUGCAGAAUUUAGACUGAUCGCCUGAAUGAGGUUUUGUUUUGUUUUGGGUUUUUUAUUGCCAAAAUAUACACACUGGCAGUGGAACGGGGGGUGGAGAGAGCGCAUCGCCCCCAGCACCAUGCCCCCGUGGGCAGCAUGCCACACCCCCAGAAUGAACACCAUGCCCCUGGGGUGCGGGCCAGCCACGCCCCCGCCUGCUCUCCGCCCCCAGGGCCGGAGCAUGCAGCUUUGCCACUGGAUAUACACCCUGCCCCAGACUCUCCGAGUGUCCCUGUUUUCCAGGGACGUCCCAGAUUCACAGAAGCCCUCCCGGUUUCUGAUUUGAUCCCAGAAUGUCCCGCUUUUCCUUAGGACGUCCCUAUUUUCACCGAAGAAACGUUGGAGGGUACCCUUCCCUACCUGCAGCCCCCAUCCCCAGGAUCAGAGCAACUCCACCGAUGGCUGACAAAUAAUUUCUUCCUUGCCCCCUUUUGGAGAACAGCUCAGCCAGUCACCAACAGAAGCUUCGUCCAAUGGAAUAUCGCCAUGCAUCAUAACAGAGACAAAGACUGGCAGCAGCCCACAGUGGCUGUGCUAACCUGUGACCCUCCAAACAUUGCUACUCCAAUUCCCAUCAGUGCCAGCCAGCAUGGGCAAUGGUCAGGGAUGAUGGGAGUUGUAGUCAUGCAUCCCUUGGCAGGCCACACCUUCGCUGCC